rnacentral:rRNA from 1 species
GUCCCGACGGUAAACGAUGGGAACUAGGUGUUGCCGGUAUCGACUCCGGCAGUGCCGCAGCUAACGCAUUAAGUUCCCCGCCUGGGGAGUACGGCCGCAAGGUUGAAACUCAAAGGAAUUGACGGGGGCCCGCACAAGCAGUGGAGUAUGUGGUUUAAUUCGACGCAACGCGAAGAACCUUACCUGGGUUUGACAUGCAGGGGAAAAUCACAGAGAUGUGAUCCCGGUAGCAAUACCGUCGCUGCACAGGUGCUGCAUGGCUGUCGU